CACAGUCACCGCUUUUUGUAACCUUAGAAAUUUUGUUCAAAUCUGAUCAGCCUUCAAUGGCGGAUGAGGUGGUGUUGUUGGAUUUCUGGCCAAGCCCAUUUGGGAUAAGACUGAGGAUUGCUCUGGCUGAGAAGGGCAUUGUGUAUGAGUACAAAGAUGAGGACUUGUGGAACAAGAGCCCACUGUUGCUGCAGAUGAACCCGGUUCACAAGAAGAUCCGGGUUCUCAUUCACAAUGGAAAACCGGUCUCCGAGUCCCUCAUUGCUCUUCAGUACAUUGACGAAGUUUGGAAUCAUAAGGCUCCACUCUUGCCCUCUGACUCUUACCUCAGAGCCCAGGCCAGGUUCUGGGCUGACUUCGUCGACAAGAAGGUGAUUUUUACUCAUUAAUUUACUUAUUUGCUGUAUUUUUGUUUUGUUUUGAAUAUUUUUGGUUUGAAACAAUUGAAAACAUGGGAAAUAGAACAUCUGGUUAUAUUUUUUAUGUUUAAAUGUUGAGAGUAUCUAGCAUAAGUGCUUAAAACCUCACGCGUUGCUAAUUCAUUUUUGGUUAAAUGCUUACGGAUAUUUGAGCUGGUAAUUAAAACAAUGUUGUUUUAGAAUUUUAAGAUUAGAAGUGUUUAGGGUGUAACGGUUUUACCAUUUAGGAUUUGUAUUAGAAGGAAAGCUAAAUGGAAACUAGAUCUCUGUUUAUGUUUUCAAGGUUAAUAUUACGCUCGCUUUUAAAACAUAGUUAAUUAAGGUUUCAUGUUACAGUUUCGGGUUUAAGGUUUAAGGUUUGUGAUGUAUAUUUAAAAGGGGAGACUUUGGAUGCGGUCCCUAGUUAUGAACAAUCUUUGACUGAAACCUUAUUGGUUUUCAAUUUUUGAUCCAAGUCCCUGAAAUUAAUUGAUAAUUUAUUUCUAUGUACGUUACUAUAUUUUUUUAAUUAAAAAUUAAAAUUUAUAGUUGUUUAUAGUAAUGAGAUUUAAAUAAAAAAACCAUAAUUUGUGGGAUUAAAAAAAUAUAAAAAUAUAAAUAUACUAUUGUGUGUGUGUGUGUGUGUGUAAACAUGGGUACAUUCAUAAAAAUAACCAAAAAAUUAUUGUAUCAAAACAUGGAUACAUUCUUCAAAAUGGGUACAUUUAGCAAAAAAAAAAAAUGGGUACAAAUAAAUAAAAAAAUAUAUGGGUAUACAAUACAAAUAAAACUUUAAAAAAUAUGGGCACAAAAAGAAUUUAAUAUAUGGGUACAAAUUAAAACUGAAAGGAAAAUUGGUACAAAUUAAAAAAGGGUUGCAAAUUAAAAAUGGGUACAAACUAAAAAUAAAAAAUAUAUGAUAAAAAAAUUUAGCCAUAAGUAAAUAAAUACUAAUUGUAACAUUUUUAAUAUUAAAUGAAUAUAUUUAGAAAUAAAAAAUAUUUUAUUAUUGAAAUAAUUAAUGAUAUUAUUAAUACAAAGGACCUUGAUCAAAAAUUGAAAAGUAAUAAGGUUUUAAUCAAUAGAGUAGUAAAAAUAAGGAUGAAAACCUAAUUACUCCAUUUAAAAGAUAUCAGCGGAAGAUCUGAACUUGCUCAAAACAAUGUAUAUUAAUUUCCCUGAAUUUUUGGGGAUGUGAAAUGCAGAUGUAUGAGAUUGGGAGGAAGCUUUGGGCAACCAAAGGAGAAGAACAGGAUGCAGCAAAAAAAGAAUUUCUCGACUGCAUUGGCGUGUUAGAAAGAGAGCUUGGAGACAAGCCUUUCUUUGGGGGGAAUACCCUCGGAUUCGUGGACGUGACGCUUAUUCCGUACUAUAGCUGGUUUCUUGUGUAUGAAAAAUUUGGCAACUUUAGUGUUGAGGCAGAGCACCCAGAAUUUAUUGCCUGGGUUAAGAGGUGCAUGGAGAAGGAGAGCGUGUCCAAGUCGCUUCCCGAGCAGGAAAAGGUCUACGAUUACGCCAUGCUUAUAAGGAAAAAGCUUGGAAUUGCAUAGAUUUUGGUGGAAGCCUGCAAGAAGCUAGUGAUGAUCAGUGUCAUUCCAACUUGUUUGGUCGUGUGGUUGUUCUGUCUUUCAAGAUUCAACCCGUUUUGGGUUGAUGAAUUAGAAUAAAAGGGCACUUGACAAGCUUUGUACUGUAAGAGACACUUUAUUGUGCCUCUGGUCGUAUGUUUAUUUUACUUCUGUAGUCAACUUAUCACACGUGUCAACUUGUUAUGUAAGGGAUCUAAAUCUACUUGAUCAAGUUUCUUAUUUUGUAACCACUUCAUAUCCCACGAUGGAUUAUUGGUUGUCACCAAUUGUGUUUAAUUAUGUGUCUCUCUCUUAUCAGGUAACAAAGACCUAAAUUUAUUGGUCAAUUCUUGUUUCAUAACCGUACAGAAUCAACCAGUAAUAUCUUCUACAUAUACAUUUAUGUUACUGUAAUUUGAUUCAUAAAUCAUUUGUGUCAAUACAGUGCACACUUGGUCAACAAGUGACUUGUCCGUACCUAUAUGAACGUACUUCAUGAGAUCCCCGUGCACAUAAGUUUAAGUUUAUGCAUAAUUUGAUACAAUCUUGGGCAAUUAGCCACAAUAGACAUGUUGCGAUAUUUGGUUGCACUUUUGAUUACGCUCCCUAAAAAUUGCUCUUUUGAUGAAUUCUGCCUGUGAAAAGUUCAUAGUGCCCUUCAUUAAUCGAAAAGGGUACAACAAUACGACCCCCCUCCUCGCCUUUUGUGACGUUGAACCACCACUUAGACAACACCACAAUGAUGCCACAACUACACCCCAAUAAUUUAAAAAAAAAAAACAACCAAAAACUCAAUUUCGAAGAACCUGAUUUAACCAAAAAGGACUUACAUUUUAAUUUGAUUUAAACAAAAAGUCUCAGGAUUUUGAACAACCACUGCAACAACAAUAAUCUGAGAAGCUACAACGACACUACAACGAUACUCCCCAUUUUAUGAUUUUGAAACCAACAUAACCAUAACAACAAUCCAAUGACACCACAAUGAUGCUCCUCCUUUUAUGAAUUUGAACCAACAUAAUCACAACAACAAUCUAAUGACGUCCAAAUGAUACAUCCCCAUUUUUUUAUUUUGAACCACCUCAGCCGUAAUAAUUCAUUGAAGAACCCUCACCUUCUUCAUUCCCCAACCACCAAAACAAAAUUUCGAACCCAAAAAUCGAAUAUGAGCUAAGGCAAGAUGUGAGAGAGAGAGAGAGAGAGAGAGAGAGAGAGAGAGAGAGAGAGAAGAAUAAGAAGAAGAACGGAUCAGAGAGGUGGAGUAAUGAGAAACUGAGUCUUGUUGGGUGUUGUUGGUUUUUUCAUCAAUGAAGGGCAGUAUGGGCUUUUCACAUGCAAAAUUGAUCAAAAGAGCAAUUUUUAAAAAAUGGGAUAAAAAGUGCAACCACAUAUCAAAACUUGUCUAACGUGGCUAAUUGCAAUAUAAUCUUCUAAGGUCAUAAUUGAAUCCAACCUCUUAACAAAACCACUAAAGCUAGUGAUGGUAACUCAUAAGUUAUAUUGGCCAAUACAUCGACCGACGACUUAUUACUAUAAAAACAGUUAAGCAUGAUAGUAACUGACACGCCCUGAUCUUGAUGUCCGAGGGACAUUAGGAUGGUCACGUGCUGGUCGACACCCGAGGGUGACGAAAGCCAUUUAAUGAAUGCAUGUGCUAAGAACAUGUAAAACAUGUGUAUAAAUUUUGUGCGUGACUAUGCAAGUAAUACUCAAAUAUACGUCUUACAAAAUACCGUAGUAAUAUUCAAUUGCCAACAAUGAAUAUAAUGCUAAUGCUUGACAUGUUCAGAGCAUACAUGUAAUUCAUAGUACAAGCGGAAGAUAAAAUAGAGAGGUGUUAUUACAAUAGAAGUCAAAGUAGAGAGAAUGAUGCGGUAUCACUGGUAGGGGAAUGUGUCGUAUGUCGGAUCGUAUUCCUCGUUCCUAUGUCCUGAUGGGGUGCAAAACAACCAUGAGUGGACUAAGCUGAUAUAUAUGUAAUAAAAUAGUUAUUCAACAUACUAACCCCCAAAGUUUUAGGAAAACUAAUAGCAUAAUAGGUGAUAGAUUUGCCGAAAACCCUAGCUUGCCAUAAGACCUUUCAUAAAACAUAUAUCGUAUAUGGUAUGCUAACUAGUGGUAUCAGUAUCGCCCGAAGGCAUAUAGAACUCUUCCUUCACAAGUAUCAAUCACCAGUAGGCUCAUACAGCACCCAACCCGAAGGUCAAUAUAAGUAUCAUCGGCCGUAGGCAGGACAGUGACCACUAGAUAUGCACAAAAGCAGUGAAUAUACUCUUUCCAAACAUAGGUACAUAUAUCUCAAAAUCAUCUUCAGAGUAUAAAGUCAUCCAUCAUCUAUACUAUAAAGAAGUGAGUGAAAGCAUGUUUUAAAUAGUAUAUAGUCAUCCAUCAUAUACACUACAAAGAACAUCAGUUCAAUAAAAUAUGAUAUUUCAAAAUAUUCGCAGUAAGCAUAAUAUCUCAUAAAAUGUUUCAUAAAAUGUAAUCAUUAAAUCAUGCUUUUCAUGUAUGUAUUUAUACUAUUAAAACAUGCAUUUUAGAAGGAGUCUACUCACAGAUACUUUGUUGUCAUAGAGCCGUAAGAAAUAAGAAAGAUGAAAUCGCUGUUAAUAAUUGCACCUAAGCAUAUAAAGGGUACAAUUAAUAAAACUAUACUCAAAAGAUUGAAUUUCAAAAAAACGGACGUCAUAAAACCUAAAAGGGGACCUCGGGUACCCCUACGUGCCUCACGCGCCGCCGUGGGUCGCUGAAAAAUUCGUCGGCACCGGUGCCCCUUCACACACAGGCCCACACGCCUUCACUCGUUGCCUGGGGUUCCUAGGUUCUCUGGUUUUGGGCCUGAGCUUUGGGCUUGGGUCGAACGGUUUCUAAGCUUAAAAGAUUGGGCCUUAUGGGCCGAAGGCCUAAGGGCUUGGAGUCCAAGGGUUUUCAAAAGGGUUGGGGUCUUAGGGUUAACGGGCCAGAGGCCCAAUUUCCACUCGGUCUCAGCGCCGGUUCUUUGGGGUUUUUGGGUUAGGGUUUCAAGGGAAUUGGGCUCAAAUGCAACAACCCAAAGACACAAAUCUACACAACCCUAAGGGCCUGGGUUUGGUGGGUUAAUGGGUUGGGCUUUAAGGCCCGACCCAAAGCUUUUGGCUAAAGGACUUAGGCUUGGGGUUUUGGGUCUAGUCGACCCAAUAGCCUGGUUUCGACGGAAAAAGGAAGCCGGAGCUUCCAAAGCUUCGAUCGGCCUCGAUCUUCUACUCUAGAUGCAAUAUACCAUCAAAUGGUGGCCGGAGUUGGCCGGAAUCUGUGUUCAAAGGUCACGGGCUCGCCGAGGAGUUUUUGGGUGGACUUUGGGUGUCUCGUGCUUCACAGAGACGAGGGAGAGAGAGAGGGAGAGGGAGCCAACAAUGGUGAUGGUGGUGUACACGUUGGGGAUGUUUUGGGGUGUGUGAGUGUUUCUGUGUCUCGUCGGAGAGAAGAGAGGGUGAACUGUGAGAGAGAUCCAAGACUGAGAUAGAGAGUGAAAGUGAGAGAGAGAGCUUGGGGAGAGGAGAGAGAAAGAGGUAGUGGGUGAGUAGUUGCCACGUGGCAAGCAGAGAGAGGUGGAGAAGUUUAGAAAAUCUGAAAAAUAGGAUUUUGAUUGGGUAAGGAUAGGGGACUAGAAUGUAAAUUUCAAUAAAUCUUUAGGGAAAUUGUGAAAUUUACAAUAAUUUGGGGGUGGGGUUUAAUAGUAACCCAUAUUGCGAGAUAAAUUUAUUCUUAUAGUUGAGGUCAUAAAUUUAUUCUUAUAGUCGAGGUCAUAUCUACUCCUCGUCUAGGCUUCUUGCCGAACUUGAUUUUCUUAUGCUAUUAAUUGUCCAUACUUUUGUUAUUAUUAUGGUGUGACUGUUCUCACUUACUUUUACUGGGUUAGAGACCUAUGAGUUGAUUGGUGAAUAUAAUUUAAAUUUGUGUUUUUCACCAAUGUAAUAUAUAUAUAUAAAGGUUCUAAAAAACGCUAGGCGUUAGUCGGGUGCCGGGCUGGCGCCUAGGCAAGUUUAAGUAAACUUCUUGUAUAUCUUCUAAAUAAGUGCAUAUUGACACUGCAUUGAACUUGUAUAUCAUGCAUCCAAAUGUAAAAACAAAGUGUUAAAUGACAUAACAAGUUCAAUAUGGCAUCACUAUACACGUGUUAAAUGAUAUAACAACUUUCUAAAGAUGUGCCAUAUUUUGUAUAUCUUGUUUAUCACUAGGCAGAUUUAGGUAAUCCUCCCAACCUUCAUAUUUAGUUGACUAAUACAUCAACUCUUUAUUAAUUAAAAUACUAAAUAACAUAACUUAAAUGAACAACAACUAAAAAAAAAAGAAAAGCAAAAUACAAGAAGUAAAAUACAUAUUAACGUAAGAUAAUAACUAAUAUUAAACCCUUGAAAAUGGAUAAACAUAUUUAACACCAGACUCUCGAUACCAUUGCUACAAUAACUCUUGGGUAUGAAUAUUAUAUUAAUAUUUAGAAAAUAGAUUACUUUAGUCUAAAUAAGGCUUUUCAAUUGCACUAUACAAACGAACAGUGUUUUGAACCACAUUUCAGUUUAUUUACAAGAUUGCCACUCGAAUGCUUUUAACCACCUUUCACUUAAUUUACAAAAUUGCCACUUAGGCUUAAAAACCUAUUUUCAGCCGUUGUUUGCAUUUAAUGUUUGACUCAAUAACAGAGAGGGGAGGGGUACAUCACGCCUGACAAAUUGGAGAGAGACAAUCGCUUCCAUUUUUUACUCGAAGAUAGCUGGGUGUGCCUCUGGCGAGCGGAGAGAGGGGGAUAGAGCGACUACAGAGGAGGGAGACACAGAGCCUGACAAAUUGGAGAUAGAUGAGAGCUACGGGUAUGGACUGAGUGAGAGAGAUAUUUAGGUAGGUGCUCUGCCAGGCUCUUUCUGCCGCUAAUCUUGAUGCACACGUGUUGAUGAUCGUGGGAAGGGAAGAACGGUGGUAAAGUUGGCAUUUUCCAUUUCCUUCUCAAACCCUCAUUGCCUCUUCCGUCUCGUAGACCUUGCGAGAAUGACGGUCUCGCCUCCAUCCUAUCCUCGAGUUGUCGCCGUCUCUCUUCUUUAGGUAGGGUGUUGUGCGUGUGCGGUCAUGCUUGAUGAUCAUGGAAGCCAGUGAUUUAGCUUUUCUAUGACAUAGCCUCGACUCUGCUUCCAUCUCCAUUUUCUCUCCUCGCCUUGUCUCUCAGAAAUCACCAACAAGCUUAAAAACCACCAAGCCGUUAGAAAUCUCUUUGAUUCUCUCUCAGAAACUACGAAGCACAACGACCUCUUGUUGAAAAACCGUGAAAUUAGUCCCACUUCGAAGGAAAUUUUAAGCCCGUAAAAGCCUUGGUUUCCUGGUGAGUUCUCCAGCCGAUUUGGAGUGGGUAAUUUUGUGAUUUGCAGUUUAUUUUGGGAAAUGAUUGACGGGUUUGCAGUUCAUUUUACCAUUUCUAGAAUAUUUGCAGUUUAUUUUGGGGGUUUACACUAAAAUUAAGGAAGCAUAUAUGAACGCAAAGGCUCGAGGAUGUACGACAACUUGGAUAUGAUAGGGUACAAGCUAUGACAUUUUUGCAAAUUCAGUUUUUUUUCUUUUCAUUUUAGGGGUUUUUUUUUUUACUAUUUAGUUUUUGGGUUUUGUCUAAUUUUUGUGGUCUGCUUUAUAGAUUGUUCUCUUUGGAAGCUUCUUUCCAGCCUUGCGCUUCUUCUUGCCUGGUGCCUUCUCAUUGAAUAUUGGAGAAUUAAACCACAUGUGUGUGUGUUUUGUCGAUGUAAGAGGAGAACGACAUAAGAACAUUCAUCUUUAUAUAUAUAUAUUGUGCUUUUUCUAACCCAUCAAUUUCUUUUGAGUCAACCAAAUAGUCCCAACUUACAAUUUAUGUUGUGAAGUAUAAUUGUUUGAAAAAUUAAGUAUGCAUGUAUAUUUUAUGUAAGCAUAAAUUUAAUGAUUUACAAAAACUUUUAAUUGUUCCAUCCUAAAUAUCUUCCUUUAUUCUUGAUGCCAUGCUACUUGCUCGACCCUUUCUUGCAUCAGUUGUGUCACCUAAAAUUAAAAUGAAAUGAAAUAGUUUCCCUAAAUGCUUAAUGUUGUGAAUGCUCUAUACUCAUGUGUUUUACAGACGCUCAGUUCAAAAGAACUAGUUGCUGCUUGGGUGAGAGGUGUAUAAUUUCAUUAAAAAAAAAAAAAACUUUUUUGGUUGUUGGUGGUGGUUUAUCUGUAUUUGAUUGGUAAUUUCAACAUUUGAUGAUUCAAUAAUAUUUUGAACUUCCAUUUCUAUUGUCAGAAGAUAACGUCUCCAUCUCGAUUCUGCAUGAUCAAAAUGUACGUUUGGCUAAGACAUCCAUGCUUUUACAAGUAGAGAGGAAGCUGCAAUUAGAAACAACGUUGAGUGACAUUUAAGUCUUCAUUUGACAAAAAAAUAAAAAAAAUAAAAAAAUAAAACAUAAAAACUUGGAUUCUGAUAUCUAUAUUUGUUGUUUUAUUCUAUUGACAAUUCGUUGUUGAUUGGUUUUGUUGCUUUCCUCCACUUCUUAACUCAUAUUCAUUAAUCUACCUAUUUUAUUUGGGUGAUAAGUUCACUCUUUUAAUCUUAUUAGCUAAAUGAAGAUAUAGGGUGUGGUUUUGUUAAUGGCGGUGGAUGAUCUGGAUGAAAGUAUGUAUCUUGGAGAUUUUUUUGCUUACAUAUGUUUAGGCCCGGAUUGAAGAAGUUUUGUGGAAUGAGAUUCUUAUCAGAUUCUUAUACAAAAUUGUUUCUCUGUUUAUGGCAGGUAAUAAAUGUGGUCCAACCAAUGGCUGAUAAAAUGUCAUUGUAUAUAUGCUUUUGUCGAUUUCUGCUACGAUAAUGAGGGAAUCCAGCGGAUCGAGGCCAGUCGAUCUGAGGUUUGUGCUCCUCUAUCCCUUUCUUUCUCUCUUUCUGUGAAUUUCUUGAAAUUGACGACGCACGUUCUGAUUCUUGAUGUGUUUGGGAGAGGAGAAAGCUCUAGAUUAGCUUUGAUCACUUGAAUUUUUUCUUAUUUAGUUCAGCACAGUCGGACUACAUAAUCCUACCAUUGGGCUAUUUCUAGGGAGGGUUUAUGUUUACUUUUGUUAGUAUGUUGACAGUUUGGUAUGUCUAUCAUAUUGAUGGAACUAAAUUGUGAGUUAAUUAUCGUUUAGGUUGUUAAUAGUGUUUGUACAGUUAAGACAACAUGUGUGCUUUAUGCAGAAAGUUCAAAGGUUUCUGUUCCUGGCUUUAGUUUUAAUGUCGAAUAAUCAUUGUUUGAUUACAUUGUAGUAUUAGUAUGUUAUCUUAAUGAUUUCAUAUGCUUCUCUUUACGUUAAUUGUGUUGGAUUUCUACAUUUUUGGCUUUUGUUUUCUUUAAUUAAAUGAAGUUUGUAAUGUAUUUGGACAGGUACCAAUCUUCUUAAUGAAGAUUAGAGCAAUCAAAUGGAGCUUCAUAGGAUAAGUUUGUGAGGGUGAGUUUUUUUUUUUUUUUUUUUUUUGUUACUGUAUUUUUCUCCUUCGUGGCAUGCUUCUUGAUGGUUUUACUUUUACUUAAGUCUUCAUUUCGGUUCCUUGCCCAGGUUAUACAAAACUCAGUUGGUGUAAACCUUGCUGUAGAUGUAUGGAGUCUUGGGUGCAUUGUCUUGGACAUGGCUACGACAAAAACCACAUUGGAGCCAGUAUAAAGGGGUAUGAAUUUAAAUCUGAAACGAAUACUUUUGUAUAUUUGGUUUUGUAGUUAAUUUCACCUUCUGGGUUUAUGCUGGGUUUUAGUACAAUUUUAAAGGGAGAUAUAAUCCGGUGAGGUUUCUCAAGUCCAUGCAGAAGGCAGGGCUCUAUGCUCACCUUCGCAUUGGCCCUUAUGUUUGUGUUGAGUGGAACUUUGGGUAAUUCUUUUUCUCUAGAUCUAUAAUUUUGGCUUUUUUUCUUUCUUAUUUUUUAGGAUUUUCCACUCUCAUUCUAUUUUCCUCUCCUAAUUUUAGAAAAAAAGUAUUUAAUUUCUCUGAUUGUGUGGUUUGUAGGGGUUUUCCUAUUUGGCAUAGGCAAGUUUUGAUUUUUACUUUUCUUUUUUCUCACAGGGGGCUCUCGGAGAAGCAUGUAAUGGAGACACCACUUCUGUCAUUAUCUUUGGAAGUAUUUGAUGGUCGACUGGAUGAUCCUAUUAGCGUGUCCAUCCGAGGAGGUUUGUAUUCAUCUUUCCACUUUUUUGGGAAAAAUGUUUAGAAAUCAUAAAGAUGCUUUUGAAGAUAGGUAAGCAACAAUUUCUAAAAUUUUAGUGUAAUCUUUUUUCAUUAUGAAGUUCUUCUAAUGGUAAUUAGUGAUUUCAAACAAAUUCUGUGAAGUGAAAAGUGAAAUUUUGUAUGUUUAUCAUUCCAAUUUAUCUUUAUGCAGACUUUUUCUGUUGAAUGGAAAACAUACGUUUUUUUGUCUUUGUUUUUUUAUUUUUUAGUUUAUUGGUUGAUUCAUUUUAUGAUUGUUGAUAUGCAAGAUGCAAAGAUAAUUUCUUUGUUUCUAUAUAUUGUUACUAUAAGGGGUGGUUUGGGAGUGAGGUGCUUAAAAAAAAUGCACCCAUGAAAAAAAGUUGUUAGGGUUUUAGGUGUUUGGUAAACUAAAAAAAAAGGGCUUAUUUUGGAAGCUGUUGUGAGAAUAAGCUGAAAUCCAAAGGAAAAGCUGAAGCAUCUAUUUGCAGCUUUGGAAAACUGGUUUUUUUUUCAAAGCACACAAAGCUACAUUGCUCCUUUAAUGAAAAGACCCACUAUCAGACUGUUUUUUUUUUCCAAAAGCACUUUUACAAAAAAGUUUACCAAACACUCUGCUGAUUUAUUUCACAGCCGCUUAUUCUUACAGCACAGCUGCUUAUUCUCAUAACAGUUUUUUUUCAAAGCACAGCAAUACCAAAUCAGCCCUAAUUCUACCAAUAGAAACCGGUACUGUGAUUGUGGCAGUAAAUGAACCUAGUCAUUGUGGCAGUAGAUGAACCAUAACCAUGCCAGUUUGUAGCCUGCGAUUCUACUUGUGGUGGUUUAAUUUAGUUCUGUUUUCAGUUUCAGGAGAUCCUGAUUUUUCGUUCUUUGGGCCUUUGUUUGCAGCCUUCAAAGCCGUCUCUGCUCACGCCUUAUGAUUGUAGUGGUAAGCUUCCCUUUCAAAAAUUCCUUCCUUCCAGUAUUUAGGGAUUAUGAAGUGAUUUCUCUGCUUAAUAUGGGAUUAGGGUUACAUUUUUCUUAUAAUAAAAAUCUUUGUAUGCUACCCGGAAGCUUCCUUUUCAAAGAUUCUUUCUUUCCAGUAUUUAGGGAUUAUAAACUGAUUUCUCUGCUUAAUUUGUUCCAAAGUAUAAUGUAGAGAUUGCUUUAAUAUAUUGGCUUAUUGGCUGUAUGUCGAGUGUCUGAGAUAAGAUUUAGGAGAUCUAGUUUAGGUUUUGCAAAGAGAGAGAGAGAUAGGGGGUGUCCGAAAGAAAUGUGAGAGGGUUUAGGCGAGGGAUUUCAGGGAUUUGUUUAAGGUUCCUUUUCUGCAAUUUGCAGACAGAGAAAUGGGACAAGGGGGAUAGAGAGAUGUGAGGAUUUUCUGUGAGGGUAAAUGGGCAUUUCGUUUUCCAGUUGCUUCUUGAAACCCGAGAGAUUUCUACGAUUGUAGAGAGAGAUGGGGGUGUCCGUUAGGUGCCCUUUAAUUGUCACUUUUGUGAUUUGUCCAUCCUUGAUUGUUGUGUGAUUCAUUCUCAUGAAUGUUCUAUGCACAAGGUUUCAUAUUAUUCCUUCCUUUUGAUUUUGAUAUUGUUGUGCUUAAUUUCUGUUAUGUUUUAUUGGGUGAUUAGAUUAACAGACAUUGGAUAUUUUGGUACAAUAAUUUCACAUCAUGUGUUACCCUUUUGCAUCACCUUAAUUGUUCGUCACAUGCUAACUUUUAAUUAUGUUUUCUUUGGGUCAGUCUCUAUCUGGUAAAUUUGUCCAUCCUUCUGGAGUGGAGCACUAUCUUUCUGACAACAUAACUGCUCUGAGAAACUGCUAUGGAGACAAACAGUUGUUUACUCCGUUGUAGGUAUGUUUUUCUUAAGUAUUUUAGAAGGAUUCUUAACGCUUCCCCAUUAUAAUCUUAACCUUUGUAUCUAUCUCUCUCAAAAGACGAUGAGAGUAACAACUGUUGAAAAGCAAAUUCUCAAAUGUAUCUAAGCUUAUGCAUACAUUGGAUAAAAACUGAAUCUUAAAUUAGGGCAGUGAGUUUUGCAACAUCCUGGUGCUGCAUAUAUUGUCACACUUUUAAAAGUUGUAUAUCUCAGAUAUAUUGGGAAUUUAAUUAGUUUUAUGUCAUUUUCGUAGGGCAAUUUAGUAGAGAUUUAGCACAUAAAAGAAGAUGUGGGAAUCAGUACAAUUAACCUAAUAGUGAUUUGGUUCAAUGUAAAGACUACUGCUAGGGCACUCAAGUCAUUUUCUUAAUUUAUGCGCAUAUAUAUUAUACGUAACCAACACAUGUUUUCAAAUGAUGUUAGUGUUCAAGCUCUGCUGAUAUUUUAUUCUGUUCAUUUUGAUUUUGUUUUUCAGUUGUGGUUAUAGGAUUGUUUUGUCUAUUUUUUUUUCUUUUUUUUUUCCCCUAUGUACAACUUUUCUAAAAUUCAACUGUUCUCAAUUUGGUUAUUUGAACUGAGGCCUGUUAGGCUGUGCCUUUGGAAGGUCUCAUUGCUUUUAAAGUUGAAUGGUGCUAACUGAAUAUAAUGCGUUCAUUCUUCAGUGUGUGUGAGCGUAUGUGUAUGCAGUGUAUGUGAGUGCAUGCCGUGUGUGCAGUGUGUCACUUGGGCUGUUGGCUUUUUGAGGUAUGUUCAUUUAUAGAGAUUUUGUAACUGUAUUGUUGAAUUUUUAAUGUAUGCUUGGAUUUUAAAGGGGCACCAUAUUUAUGGGUUGUUGUACGAUUCUAGGGAGAUAUAGGGGAUUGAGAGGUCAUGCUAAGGAGAAUAUAUUACUUGCCACAAAGGAAUAUACUUCAUAUAAUAGCAAUGUGAUGAUGUGUGGCAUGCUUUAACUAAGGGAUAUUUUUGUGUAGUAAGAAAGCCAUAUAGAGUCACAUUUUUGUUUUUUCUUUUUUUUUUGGAUUUGGUAACUGAAAUUUUGUGUGAACUAAUGUUUCUUCUGUUUCUUAAGGAAACAUAACUUUUUUGGAAACCAUCUCUUUCUAAUCAAAGACGUUUAGUUUCUUCCCAUUCAUUGUACAAUGUAUUUAUAUGCCAGCUCACUUGAAUGUAUAUAAAAAAAACUAUUUGUUCAUAAUUGUGUUGAAUUUAUUCAACUUAAAUGUGUUUUAUUCAUCCGAUUACACCUGAAACAACAGGUUCCCGCAGCAACGCGCGGACAUAUUUUCUCGUCAAUUCUAAAGUUGGUGGGCAAUUGGCCUGUUCAUGGCUACAGUCAAGAAAAUGCCACUCGAUUUCACUCUACUUAAAAAAAGGCCAGCCAAAUUAGGCUGGGUUGGGAGGGUAAUUCUCAAAAAUUCAGAAGGUGAUUUUGUCUGUAUGGUUUAGCACGGAGCCACUCGAUUUCAUGCUAUUUACAACAAUACCAGCCGAAUGGAGCUGGAUUGGGAAUGUAAUUCUCAAAAGUUCCAGAGGGUAAUUUUGUUCGUUUGGUUUAGCACGGAUUGCUAGGUUACACGCGUGCGCUCCCUCUUCCUCUCUCUCCUACGUGAGCCCUCUCUCAUCUCUCACUUUUCCUGUUUCUGUCCUCCUCAAUCCCUAGCAGCCACAAUUCCAUCUCUUCCGUUUCUUUCAUCCCAAAACGGAAGAAAUAUGGAAAAUCAGGGUGUUCGUCACUGGAAUUUCCAAUGGGGAAGUUUCCUGGCCGACGAGCACACAGCUCCCCGAGAGGUUGGCGCCGGUUGAUACUUCCUGUCGGGCUUCUGCUUGUUGGGGGGCUUGUCGGGCAAGACUUGUCAGGCAAGGCUGAAAGAGAAAGACAAAGUUAACUCUGAAAAGUGCCUUUGUGGGGCCUUAGGUGUAGGCCUUGAGGCUCACAAUCAAAAUUAACUUUAGGUGCUCAGGCAUGCCACUGCCAUCUUUAGCAUGGUAGAUGUAAAACAUAUGUUGAGUUUAAUUAUAUUUGCCCGAGCCACCAAGUUUAGCUAUGAAAUGUGCCUUUUUAGGGCCUUAGGUAUAGGCCUUGAGGCUCGCAAUCAAAACCAACCAAGUACUCGAACAUAUAGAGGUUGUUUCAUUGUUGCAGAAGUAUUAUGACUGUUAUACUUUAAUCACCCGAGCCCGACGAACAGAAUGAACCCAAAUAGGUGCAUUUGUAGGGCCUUAGGUAUAGGCCUUGAGGCUUCCCAUCAGAAUUAAUUCAAUACUCAAACGUUCUAUGACAAUCAUAAUAUAACAGAGAUAAAACUAAGAAAUAGGUCGAUUACUUGCGCCCCAAGUAACUUCGGACUUUUUAUUAUCAAAAACUGUCGUGGAUGGGUUAAGUCCACAUAAGGUUCUUUUUUAUGCCUUGAGAUCAAGGACUUUUGAAUAAUUAAUCUUGUAUGCCUGAGAGGUUAGAACUUAGAUAUUCCAACUUAUCUUUUGCAUGGUUGGGCACUGUUAACCCGAUCGGAUUCAAGAACUGAGAAGUCUUUUAAUCAUAAACUUGCUAGAAAUAACUUGGAUACAAAUGGAAGUAUACAACAUAUUACUAGAUCUAUGAAUGAAAAAGACAGAACAAAGAGGGUCGUGCAAGGUUUCACCUUGUCGGGCAAGGCUGAUCGUCUUGCAACUUCCUAUCUUUUGUGAUUUACAAAGGGUUUGAGAGCUAAAAAAGGGAGAUUGGGAGAUGAUUUUACAGGAAAGAAUCGAUACUACAACAAGAUUUAGACAAGGUAGCAGAGCUUUUACAAAGGCUUUUAGUGAAGGUUGAUCCCGAAAGGGAUGAAGGCUUGAUGCUGACUACAACUUCGUUUGCAAAUCUAGCUUUGAGCAGAAUUUGUGUAUUUGUUUGUUUGUUUGAGUGUCCUUAUCUUUGAUUUCUCUUUCUUCUUUUAUAGACGAUUUGGCUUGGCCUCAUGUAACAUUUAAUCUUGUCCGAAUGUAACUUGAAGGGUAGUGACUCAUCAGCUAUUUACUUGUACUGUCAUUGUAAAGUACUUUUGGGUUGAUUAGCUGGCUGGUCUACACCACUUGACUUCUAGGUAGGUGAGCAAGUGGCUCAAAUGAUCUGCACUUAAUCGAAAAAGGGCAUUUUCUGCCUUCUGGGCUUCGGCUGAACUUCAGGUUUCUUUUCUUCUAGACCUUCUUUUGGGCUUAACUACAUUUUGAGCCCAAAGUUAAGUUUUAACCUGACAUAGGGCUCUUCCAUUUGCUUCCACGGAUUUCUCGAGCUCCAGAUUGCUAGCCUCCGUAUGAAGGUUCGUCUCUCUCUCUCACUUUUUUUUUUCAAUUCGUGAUCGAAUUUUCUUUCCAAGAAUGUUUGAUCUAUUGCCUUCGGAAAGAAUGCCCUGCAUUUUUCUGCCUUUUUCUUUUUAGUGAUUUUUUUUCCUGAUGAGAAUGCAAGUUUUGGAUUUAUUGAUCUUCGAUUCCGCCUCCCCUCUCCUCUACCUGACCCUCCUCUUCUCCCUCCUCCUCUUCCUCUCCUACUUCUUCUUUCUCACUCCCAAUUCCCUCUUCCUCCAGACCUCACUUUCCAUUUCCCCAAAAGUUCCUUCGGUUCUGCAUCAACACGCGGUUGCUCUCGGCAGUUGCCCAAAGUUUCGAAUUUUGAGCCCUGAUGAGAUCAAGAUUUCGGUCUGGAAUCAUACAGUUAACUCAUUCGUAGUGGGAGGUAUGUGGGUUUUCCCCUGUUUCUCAUCCUUUUGCUCUAAUUUGGGGCAAAACUGUAGAAUUCUAUGCAUCUCUGUGUGUGUCUUGGUGUAAUUUAUGUGUAGUCUAUCAAUUUUUGGUGGAGAUACUGAACAUUUCGGCUUUGUUUCUAUAGUUUGUAUUCUAGAUUUGCAAUUUAUAUGAUAUGUUGGUGAUUUGUUUGCUUUUCAUCCUUCCGGAGCAAUAACAUUACAAUUUCGAUUUUUGGCAUCGGAUAUCAUAGGAGUUUACUUACAUGAAUUUGUUUUUAGCAGUUGUUAAUUAGAAUUGGCUAAUUCUUUUACUAAGAAUUUUUUUUUACUCACUCUGUUGGUUCUUCUUCAUAUAAGUACAUAGAAAACGCAUCAAAGACUGAUUAGAAUUAGUUAGCUUAUGGGUGUGUUAACAUGUUUAAGUAGUAGUACUUAAACUCAAAAGAUGCUGGAGUGUUUCUUUCAUUAAUAAUUUGUAUUGAACUCAGCAUUUCAUAAGAGUCGAACCUGAGAGCUUUGUGGAAAGGAAUAAAACAAGAUCGUACCAUUUUAUGUAUGUUUGAUUACAUUGCUUAUAAUUAGUAAUAAUUACAUUUUAUGGACAUUGUAGCUUUCAUGGAGUUCCUUGCUCAAGCAUGUGUGAAGAGGCUAUUUUUUUUCCUUCUGGUUUGUUCACUGUUCAGUUGUGGUUCAGUUCUCCACCUUUUGGUUGGAGUACAACAGAUGCUUUUAAAUUAUUAAAUUAGGAGAGCUAAGAAGAUAUUUUGUGCUAAUUGCUAUUUGAUAACUCUGGUUUUCUCUUUUGGCUACCACCUUGCUCUCUCUCCAUUUCUCUUUUUCCUCCUGCUCUGCUGGUUUUUCUGUGUUACAACCUCUCUGCAAAAACCAGACUGUAUGUGUUUUGCAUGUAUUUGUUCAUGCUUCUAUUGUUUGUUGUUGUGGUGGUGACCCUGUGAAUGGAAUUCUCAGUUAUCUAUUCCUCUAGAAUUAUACAUGAUGCAUCUGAUUUUUGUUCAUCGACAGAUGAUGCCACAUGCUUGAGAUUUUUAUGCCAUCACUCUGUUGGUUCUUUUGUGAUUGUUAUUGAUUGUUUUAAAAUGUGUAUGAUGUGUGUGAUGCGCAAAUUAGAGCAGAGGUUUCUACAUGUGGUUUUAAAUUGAGCAGAGGCGAUAAUUUUUUUUAUUAGAGAAGGAAUCAUUGAGGUCACUUUAGAAAAUGGAUGGGUGUCUGGUUAUUUUGUCAUUUGAGUGGUGUAGCUUUGUUAUGAUCUCUGUUCCGGCACUGUGUGAUUAGUGUUAAUGGUUUUUCAACACUGUUUGUAACCUAUUAUUUUCGUUGUUGUCAUGUAACUUAGUGUUGAUGGCUGUGUUUGUGAUUUUCAGAAAUUUGGAUCGUUAGAGGGAGUCUUAGUAUCACCGUUCUGCGACGGAUUAAGUUUAUGUCACGGCCUCAAUACAUUUUAUGGGUGGAGAUGAGUGGUACAAUUUUUUGGUUUUAGCACAUUUUUGUGUUUGUUGGAAGGUCUCAAUUACUUUUUUUAGAUAAUCUAUGGUCUCAGAUGGAAGAGUUGAAUGCAAAACAGGUCAUGAUGACAAAUGAUACGUUCCCGUUAUUAGUUGCUUUUCUUUCGUGAAAUGUAAUUUUGUCGUAGAUUAAGUUUGUUGCACCAUCACAGAUUAAGUUCAUUGCACUGUCACAGAUUGAGUUCAUUGCACUGUUACAGAUUGAGGUACUUUUCCUGUGUCCGUUUGUUUGCGCUUUGAAUUCUUACUCUGAAUCUCAUUUUUGCAGUUUAGAUUGGACUAGCAUUGCAACAUUGUGAUCUACUCUUGCUGCUGCCUUUGAUCUUGGGGUUCGGAGCGAUUGCACUUGAAUCAAGGCUCUGGUAGUGAACUUUCUCAUUCUUCCCGAAGUGCUUUAAUAUGUGUUGUUGAUAACUGCGCUCUCUCAAUGAACCAGAAAUAUUUUUAGACAAAUCACAACUUCCAUAUUUAAGAAAAUGAGUGGCUUUUUAACAAUGCAUGAAUGUAGCUUACAUGUUCAGAAAAAUUCAUGGAUAUUUACAUUCAACCCGCAAGUAUCAUUAACUCAUAAAAAAUUAAGUUUAAUUCAUGGAUGUUUACAUUGAACCCACAAGAAUAUCAUAAAAAAUUAUGUUUUGUAUUUUCUUUAUCGCGUGUCGCUUCAAAUUUUUAUCUAAAACAUUGUCGAAAUGCUUAUUGGUUACUUUUUAUGUCCUUCUGUUCAUUCAUGAUUGUGUUGAAUUUACUUAGGUCCCGCCGCAACGCGCGGGCCUAUUUUCUAGUUUAAACUAAAGUAAAGAAAAGUUAGAAAACUGAUUAACAGGAAGAAAGGAAAAUACUUCAGACUUCGGACUCUUCACAGUUAGCGGUAAGAAGACGAAGCAACACAGACUCGACCUCCUUAUAAAUGUCAAAUCUGUUCUUCCAAUCUCUUAUUUUUGGAUCAGGUUCUCCGGUCUGCUAAAAGGCUCUUCGAUUUAUUCAAUUAGUCACUCAUGUGUUUGGACGACGGCGAUGUUGCUGCAGAGACAGUGAGUUGUGACAGAGCAGGAGAGUUUCAGGUACCAACUAGCUGCCCAACGCCCAUCUAGGCCGCCCAAGUACCUGCCUAGGCCGACCAACGACCGCCUAAUUCUUUUUCCGAUUUUUCUUUCGAUUUUGGUUAAAUCCCAACGGCUAACCAUCACCCAGCACCUAGGUGCCGCCUAGGUCGAUUUUUUAAAACACUGAUAUAUAUAUAUAUAUAUAUAUAUAUAUAUAUAUAUAUAUAUAGAUUUUUCCUCGCGUUACACUAUAAAAAAAUAAAAUAAAACAACAACAACAACAACAAUGCUAAGUUCUAGGUAAAUGACUCAAAAGAAUUAUAAGUAUGAGAUUGAGGUGGGUCCUGACACAAAGACUACUUCCCUGUCAUGUUCAUCUACCUAAAUUUGAAAUCUUUUUGUAGUGGCGUUUAAAAAUUCCCUCAGAGUGAGAGCUUUUCUCUUCUUGAGAGUUUCCCAUCUUAAAACUUCUUCCUUUCUUCAGAAAGGAUUUGACCAAACAAAAGAAAAGUGAUAUCUUUUCCACCAAGAAUUUAGAAUUAUUAUAAAGGAAUAGAUUCAUAUGUUGUCGUCAGACAAAUAAAAAUACGUUUUUCUUUUUAAUACAUCGAUAUUUUUACACUAAGAGAUCGAUAGCCACACAUAAUUGAUAACUUAAUUUGGUAUCGAAUUUGCCAUCCACGAAUUCGAACCUAAGAACUGUCACUUCCAAGUAAAAAGGAAUAUCAUUAAACUGUAGUACUGAGUAGCAUAAAAACACGAACGCGUAUUAUAUAUUAUUAAAUACAAAAGUCCAACCACAUGUCAAAUGUCGCUAGUUGCAAUAUAAUCUUCUAAGGUCAUAAUUGAUUAAAGUAUCAAAUGUGGCUGCUAAAAUGACUCAAAAGAAAUUAAAGUAUCAGCUCGAGGUGGGUCCUGACACAAAGACUACCUCCUUGUCCUUGAACAAGUUCGUCGACCUAAAAUUGAUAUCUUUUACACCAAGAAAUUAGAAUUAUUAUAAAGGAAUAUAUUCAUACGCUAUAGUCCGACUAAUAAAACACGUAUUAUAUAUUAUUACAAAUCAACGUGCAUUAACAAAGAAAUAUAAAAGGAAAUGCCGGAUUUGUCAACUUGAUGUCGAGAGCAGUGACAUAAUCGCCGUCCAAUUGGAAGAUUCUCGAAUCAAUAUGUACAAGAAAGGAAGAGAAGUUGAAUAUCUCCAUGUCCGGAGUCUUUGACGACUGCUUCUCCUCUGCAUUUUCUGUCUAUAAAUACUCAAUCUGCUAGUCUGCUUCUUCACCCACUAUUCACACUCACACUCACCGCUUUUUGUAACCUUAGAAACUUUGUUCAAAUCUGAUCAGCCUUCAAUGGCGGAUGAGGUGGUGUUGUUGGGUUUCUGGUCAAGCCCAUUUGGGAUAAGACUGAGGAUUGCUCUGGCUGAGAAGGGCAUUGUGUAUGAGUACAAAGAAGAGGAUAUUUGGAACAAGAGCCCACUGUUGCUGCAGAUGAACCCGGUUCACAAGAAGAUCCCGGUUCUCAUUCACAAUGGAAAACCGGUCUCCGAGUCCCUCAUUGCGCUUCAGUACAUUGACGAAGUUUGGAAUGAUAAGGCUCCACUCUUGCCCUCUGACUCUUACCUCAGAGCCCAGGCCAGGUUCUGGGCUGACUUCGUCGACAAGAAGGUGAUUUUUACUCAUUAAUUUACUUAUUUGCAGUAUUUUUGUUUUGCUUUGAAUAUUUUUGGUUUGAAACAAUUGAAAACAUGGGAAAUAGAUCAUCUGGUUAUAUUUUUUAUGUUUAAAUGUUGAGAGUAUCUGGCAUAAGUGCUUAAAACCACACACGUUGCUAAUUGGUUUUAGGUUAAAUGCUUACGGAUAUUUGAGCUGGUAAUUAAACAAUGUUGUUUCAGAAUUUUAAGAUUAAAAGUGUUUAGGGUGUAACGGUUUUACCAUUUAGGAUUUGUAUUAGAAGGAAAACUAAAUGGAAAUUAGAUCUCUGUUUAUGUUUUCAUGGUUAAUAUUACGCUCGCUUUUAAAACAUGGUUGAUUAAGGUUUCAUGUUACAGUUUCGGGUUUAAGGUUUAAGGUUUGUGAUGUAUAUUUGAAAGAUAUCAGCAGAAGAUCUGAACUUGCUCAAAACAAUGUAUAUUAAUUUCCCUGAAUUUUUGGGGAUGUGAAAUGCAGAUAUUUGAGUUUGGGAGGAAGCUUUGGGCAACCAAAGGAGAAGAACAAAAUGCAGCAAUAAAAGAAUUUCUCGACUUCAUUGGCGUGUUAGAAAGAGAGCUUGGAGACAAGCCUUUCUUUGGGGGGGACACCCUCGGAUUCGUGGACGUGACGCUUAUUUCAUACUAUAGCUGGUUUCUUGAGUAUGAGAAAUUUGGCAACUUUAGUGUUGAGGCAGAGCACCCAGAAUUUAUUGCCUGGGUUAAGAGGUGCAUGGAGAAGGAGAGCGUGUCCAAGUCACUUCCCGAGCAGGAAAAGGUCUACGAUUACGCAAUGUUUUUAAGGAAAAAGUUUGGAAUUGAGUAGAUUUUGGUCGAAGCCUGCAAGAAGCUAUUGAUGAUCAGUGUCAUUCCAACUUGUUUGGUCGUGUGGUUGUUCUGUCUUUCAAGAUUCAACCCGUUUUGGGUUGUUGAACUAGAAUAAAAGGGCACUUGACAAGCCUUGUACUGUAAGAGGCACUGUAUUGUGCCUCAGGUCGUAUGUUUAUUUUGCUUAUGUAGUCGGCUUAUCACACCUGUCAACUUGUUAUGUAAGGGAUCUAAAUCUACUUGAUCAAAUUUCUUAUUUUGUAACCACUUCAUAUCCAACAAUGGAUUAUUGGUUGCCACUAAUUGUGUUUAAUUAUGAGUCUAUCUCUCUUAUCAGGUAACAAAGACCAAAAUUUAUUGGCCAAUUCUUGUUUCAUAACCGUAUAGAAUCAACCAGUAAUAUCUUCUACAUAUACAUUUAUGUUCUUGUAAUUUGAUUCAUAAAUCAUUUUUGUCAAUAUAGUGCACAUCCGGUCAACAAGUGACUUGUCCGUACCUAUAUGAACCUACUUCAUGAGAUCCCCAUGCACAUAAGUUUAAGUUUAUGCAUUAAUUUGAUAUAAUCUUGGCCAAUUAGCCGCAAUAGACAUGUUGUGAUAUUUGGUUGCACUUUUGAUUACACUUCCUAAAAAUUGCUCUUUUGAUGAAUUUUGCCUGUGAAAAGUUCAUAGUGCCCUUCAUUAAUAAAAAAGGGUGCGACAAUAUAGACACCCAACUUCCAACGACACCCCCCACCCCUCCUUCGUUUUUGAUGAUUAACUACCACUUAGACAACACCACAACGAUACCACAACUACACUCUAAUAAUUUAAAAAAAAGAAAAAUUAAUGAAAAAGACUUGAAAACUUUGCGUUUUAACGAUAAGGACAAAAUAAAGGGUAAAGUGAAUAGUACCAAGAUUGACUUUUUAAUGUUAAAAUGUGGUUUUUCGUUAAAGUGAACAGUACCGGGAGCUUUUCGUUAAAGUUCCCUUAAAAAAAAACGACCAAAAACUCAUUUUCAAAGAACCUCAUUUAACCAAAAAGGACUUACAUUUCGAUUUGAUUUAAACCAAAAGCCUCAUGAUUUAGAACAACCACUGCAACAACAAUAAUCUGAGAAGCUACAAACUCCAACGAUACUCCUCAUUUUAUGAUUUUAAACCCAGCACAACCAUAACAACAAUCUAAUGACACCACAACGCUGCUCCUACUUUUAUGAUUUUGAACCAACACAAUCACAACAACAAUCUAAUGAUGUCCAAAUGAUACACCCCCGUUUUUAUUUUAUUUUGAACAACCUCAGCCGCAAUAAUUCAUUGAAGGAACCCUCACCUUCUUCAUUCCCCAACCACCAAAACCAAAUUUCAAAUCCAAAAAUCGAAUAAUGAGCUAAAGCAAGAUGAGAGACAGAGAGACAGAGAGAGAAGAAGAAGAAGAAUGGAUCAGAGAGGUGGAGUAAUAAGAAGCUUACCUACUUCCAUGGUGUCCUAGAUGUUAUUCGCCGCUCCAAAUUUGAUUAGUCAAAGAGGAGCAACCAAAGAAGGGAUUUGACGGUGUUGUUGGGUGUUGCUGGUUUUUUUUUUAUCAAUGAAGGGCAGUAUGGGCUUUUCACAUGCAAAAUUGAUCAAAAGAGCGAUUUUUAAAAAGUGUGAUAAAAAGUUCAACCACAUAUCAAAACUUGUCUAAUGUGCCUAAUUGCAAUAUAAUCUUCUAAGGUCAUAAUUGAAUCUAACCUCUUAACAAAACCACUAAAGCUAGUGAUGGUAACUCAUAAGUUAUAUUGGCCAAUACAUUGUCCGACGACUUAUUACUAUAAAAGCAGUUAAGCAUGAUAGUAACUGACACGCCCCGAUCCUGAUGUCCGAGGGACAUUGGGAUGGCCACGUGCUGGACGACACUCGAGGAUGACGAAAGCCAUUUAAUGAAUGCAUGUGCUAAGAACAUGUAAAACAUGUGUAUAAAUUUUGUGCGUGACUACGCAAGUAAUACUCAAAUAUACGUUUUACAAAAUACCAUAAUAAUAUUCAACUACCAACAAUGAAUAUAAUGCUAAUGUUUGACAUGUCCAGAGAAUACAUCUAAUUCAGAGUACAAGCGACAGAUAAAAUAGAGAGGUGCUAUUACAAUAGAAGUCAAAGCAAAGGGAAUGACGCAGUAUCACUGGUAUGGGAAUGCCUCGUACGUUACGUUAGAUCGUAUUCCUCGUUCCUAUGUCCUGAGGGGGCGUAAAACAAACAUGAGUGGACCAAGUUGAUAUAUAUAUAUAUAUAUAUAAUAAAACAGUUAUUCAACAUAUUAACUCCCAAAGUUUUAUGAAAACUAAUAGCAUAAUAGGUGAUAGAUUUGCCGAAAACCCUAGCAUGCCAUAAAACCUUUCAUAAAACAUAUAUCGUAGAUAGUGUGAUAACUAGUGGUAUCAGUAUCACCCGAAGGCAUAUAGAACUUUUCCUUCAUAACACUUCAUUCACAAGUAUUAAUCGCCUGUAGGCUCUUACAGCACCCAACUUGAAGGUCAAUAUAAGUAUCAAUUGCCCGUAGGCUCCUACAGCACCUAACCCAAAGGUCAAUAUAAGUAUCAUCGCCCGUAGGCAGGACCUAACCCAAAGGUCAAUAUAAGUAUCAUCACCCAAAGGUCAAUAUACUCUUUCCAAACAUAGGUACAUAUAUCUCAAAAUCAUCUUCAUAGUAUAAAGUCAUGCGUCAUCUAUACUAUAAAGAAGUGUGUAAAAGCAUGUUCUAAAUAGUAUAUAGUCAUCCAUCAUAUCUACUACAAAGAACAUCAGUUCGACAGAAUAUGAUAUUCCAAAAUAUUCGCAGUAAGCAUAAUAUCUCAUAAAACGUAAUCAUUAAACCAUGUUUUUCAUGUAACGACCCGCCCCUAAAAAUUAUAGUUUUUAUAAUUUUAAAAUGUGAAUAUACAAAAAUGCCUUUCGAGGCAAAUAUGUUGACUUUUGUUGCCACUUUGUUGUGUCAAGUAAGAAUCAUUUUCUUGGUGUAUUUGGAUAGUACUCGUCGCUACGAAUGCGAAGGCAUAAACGGAACAUGAUUUGAAGUUAUAACGAAGAAGUUAUGGGCGAGUAAAAAUAGGGACAAAAUAGUCAUUUAAAUAUUUUUUGAAAGGCUCUAGAUUUUGGAGAAAAAUCUGGAAAGCCACAUGUGUGGCCCAGAUUGAAAGAAAUGAGAAACAGAUGGAUGGAAGAGAAAAUAAAUGAGAGAAAAGAGGGAGGGUGAGGACCAAUCAGGAGAAGGGAGAGGGUGAGUGACCAAUUAGAGAGGAGAGAAAGGAAGGGAAAGGAGAAAGAGGAGGAGCACCAGAUCACCCUUGACCCGGUUCCUCCCCGUCGACCCAACCCGAUUUCUACACACCCCGAUGCCAAUUCUGGCAUUUUCCUGGCAAAUUGACCGUCGCCACCACCUACACACGAGUACACAACACUUCUUUUUCAACUUCCAUCCCAAGCCCAAUGGUUUUUGGUCUUGUUUUCGUGGAGAUGGCAUUGGCGGCACCGUGGGGGGAGAUCGGUAGAAAUCUGCCAUUUCUGAAGGUAAACCCUGCGACUACUAUCACCAUUAGCCUUUCCUUGAACCCAGGAACAAUUUCCAAUCAUUGGUUAGAGCAUCGGAGUCAAUUUGAGGACGAAUUAAGAAACACCCUUUAUAGGGUUUCCGACCUGUUUUAGUGAAAUUGGGGCUUUUCCCGGCCAAAUUGGCCUUAGUCACAUGUAUGAAAGUUGCUCCAUUCAUCGAGAUCUUCAUUUCUAUAAAAUUUUGGAAUUUUUGGAGUUGUUUGAUUCUCCGGCGAGUCGGGGCGGGUGGCCACCACAUGUGGCGGCGCGUGGAGGAAAAACCUGAGGUUCCUCGAUGUGCCGAAUCCGAAUCCGCCAUCCGUUUUCCCAAAUUCUAACAUUUAAGUAAAGUUUUAGUAAAAGGUCCUUAAUUGUGUUUAGACGCGUUGAUGGGAAACAACGUCAUUCUCAAUAGUUCGAGCGGCUUUCGGGCGAUGGAAAACUUGUGAGUGGACCCCUUAUUAACUAUAUAUUUUUAUAAAUUAUUAACCUAGCAUGCAUUUCAUAUUUCAUGCUUUGAAUAUGCUUUAUAUUAUGUUUUUUGGGAUUUUCUAUAAUUAUGGUUUAUAUAGAAUUCAUGAUUUAAUUGCUUUACGGAAUAUUUAUAAUUUAUCGAAUUUAUGUUUAAUAGUGGUGAUGAAUUAUUGGUUUUGGAUAUAUGAAACCCUUGGUUUUACGAAUAUGUUUUAUAUACGAUUUAUGCGACGAGAUUUUGGUACUUACCUAAUGGGUUAUCAUACGGCACAUCCGCACAUCACGGGCAUUAUGUCUAUGGCCAUAGGUCACAAAUGAUGGAGGAGUGAGAUAUGAUAUAUUAUAUACCCCCAGCUUCACCACCGAAAGCAGUGUCGGACUGCUUCACUAGCCACGGCUAGUGUCGGUGUGGAUGUAUGCUAUUUUAUACAGCAUCACCUUCGGGUGAUGGACAUGUUAUACAACUUCACCUUUGGGUGAUGAACAUAUUCUUCAGCUUCACCUUCGAGUGACGGACAAGUACUGCCUUCGGGCGACUAUGAUACCCCUCGUUGAGUAAAACAUGAAUAUGAUUUACGAUGUUUCACAAAUGUUUUACACUACAUGCUAGGGUUUUUCAUAAAACCUACUAUGUAGAAUUAUAUAUUUGUUUUCAAAACAGGGGGUUAUUAUGUUCAAAAAUAAAAUAUUUUCCUAUUAUUAGUAUUAUUAUUAUAAACUCUGGUCCACUCACCUUUUUUGUUUUGCGUCCCCUUUAGGAUUUAAAUUCGAGGCACAUAAUCCCGACGUCAGGACACUUCUACAUAUGUAUUCUAGAGUCUUCUCAGUAUAGGUAUCAUUCAUUUGUUCGUAUAUUUUCCUAGUAAUUCUUCCAUAUUAUUCUUAGUAGUUGUAUGCUCUGAACACGUUCUUGCCAUGAUAUUUUACGUUUUAAUUGCAUAUCUUUUACUUAAAUACAUGUUUAAAAUGGCUUCGUCACCCUCAGGUGUCGACCAUCACGUGUCUACCCUGAUAUUUAGGGAUAUCGGGGUUGGGGCGUGUCAUUUCAUGUAUGCAUUGUACUAUUAAAACAUGCAUUUUAGAAGGGGUCCACUCACAGAUACUCCAUCAUCGAAGAGCCGUAAGAAAUAGGAAUGACGAAAUCGCUGCUAAUAAUUGCACCUAAGCACAUAAAGGGUACAAUUAAUAAAACUAUACUCAAACGAUUGAAUUUCGAAAAAUGGAAGUCAUAAACGAAUUCAAGAUGUCGAAAAACAUAAAAAGGGACCUCAGGUACCCCCACACACCAUCACACGCCUCCGCAAGGUGGUAGCUCCGGCACUCAUGCACCGCCGUGGGUCGCCGAAAAAUUCGUCGACUAGACUGUGGCUCCACGCGUCGGCACCAGUGCCCCUUCAUGCGCAGGCCCACGCGCCUUCACGCGCAGCCUGGGGUUCCUGGGUUCUCUGGUUUUGGGCCUGGGCUUUGAGCUUGAGCCGAAGGGUUUCUGGGCUUAAAUGGUUGGGCCUCACGGGCCUAGGGUCAACAAGUCAAAGGCCCAAGUUGCUCAGCUUAAGGGCCUGGGGUCCAAGGUUUUCAGAAGGGUUGGGGUCUUGGGGUUAACGGGCAGGAGGCCCAAGUUCCACUCGGUCCCAAGGUCGGUUCUUUGGGGUUUUUGGGUUAGGGUUUCAAGGGAAUUCGGCUCAGAUGCAACGACCCAAAGGCCCAAAUCUACAUGGCCUUAUGGGCCUGGGUUUGGUGGGUUAAAGGGUUGGGCUUUAAGGCCAGGCCCAAGGCUCUGGGCUAAAGGACCUAGGCUUGGGGUUUUGGGUCUAGCCGACCUAAAAGCCUGGUUUCGACGGAAAAAGGAAGCUGGAGCUUCCCAAGCUCCAAUCGGCCUCAAUCUUCUACUCUAGCAUGCAAUCUACCUAUCAAAUUGAAGCUUAGGAGAAGAGGAAGAGAUUCAUACCUUUGGCACAAUGAAUGGUGGCCGAAGUUGGUCGAAAUCUGUGUUCGAAGGUCAUGGGCUCGUCAAGGAGUUUUUGGGUAGACUAUGGGUGUCCCGUGCUUCACAAAGAUGAGGGAGAGGGAGAGGGAGAAGGAGUCCACGAUGGUGGUGGUGGUGUCGACGUUGAGGAUGUUUUGGGGUGUGUGGGUGUUUGUGUGUCUCACCGGAGAGAAGAGGGAGGGUGAAUUGUGAGAGAGAUCCGAGAGUGAGAUAGAUAGUGGAAGUGAGUGAAAGAGCUCGGGGAGAAGAGAGAGAAGGAGGUAGUGGGUGAGUACUUGCCAUGUGACAAGCAGAGAGAGGUGGAGAAGUUUAGAAAAUCUGAAAAUGAGGAUUUUGAUUGGGUGAGGAUAGGGGACUAAAAUGUAAAUUUCAAAAAAUCUUUAGGGAAAUUGUGAAAUUUACAAUAAUUUGGGGGUGGGGUUUAACAAUAACCCAUAUUGCUAGAUAACUUUAUUCUUAUAGUCAAGGUCAUAUCUACUCCUUGUCGAGGCUUCUUACCGAACUCGACUUCCUCAUGCUAUUAAUUGUCCACACUUUCGUUAUUAUUAUGGUGUGACUGUUCUCACUUACUUUUACUGGGUUAGAGACCUAUGAAUUGAUUGGUGAAUAUAAUUUAAAUGUGUGUUUUCACCAAUGUAAUAUAUAUAUAUAUAUAUAUAUAUAUAUAUAUAUAUAGAGAGAGAGAGAGAGAGAAAGAAAGAAAGAGAGAGAGAAAGAGAAAGAGAGAGAGAGUUUUUCUAGCGUUACACUUAAAAUUCAAAUAAAAAAAAUAAAAAACAAUGCUGAGUUCUAGGUAAAAUGACUCAAAAGAAUUAAAGUAUGAGAUCUAGGUGGGUCCUGACACAAAGACUACUUCCCUGUCAUGUUCGUCUACCUAAAAUUGAUAUCUUUUCGUAAUGGCAUUUAAAAACUCUCUCCGAGUGUGAGAGCUUUUCUCUUUUCUUGAGAGUCUUUCCCACCUUUAGUGUGUGUAGCUUCCAACUCGUCGAUUUUGUUGUCACCGACCCUCUCUGAGGUGAGGGUUGGUGGUUGCUCUGGCCGUUUUCUUUCUCCUUUCUCCUUUCGUUCCUUUUGCUUCCUCUCUCCCCAUAUUUCCUCCCCGUUUUAUCCAGUCUGGUAUACCUUUUGGGCGUCCAUCUUCUUCGCUUCCGUUCCGGUCUGCUAUCAGGUUUCAACCCAUUUUGUUGCACUCUUCCGAGAAGGUGUGUCAAGUUACGGUUACGCCGGCUCAAGUGUUUACAACACCACCUCUUUCUUUUUGUCUGCCUUUGUUGGCAGUGUUAUCCAUGGUAUUCCCAUGGGCUUCUUUCGUUUUUUGGCUGGGACCGGUGAAUCGUUCGUGGUUGGGAGAUAAGAUAUCUCUUUGUUUCAUCUCUACGGUGUUGCUUGGUGGAAGAUGUGGUGUCGAUUUGGGUAAUUGGUUUUGGAUGAUUGGGAAGCACUGUUGCAGCAGUGGAAGCAAACUGGAAUGUUCCGGAGCUCUGUAUCAGAAUGUAGGCUUUGGGUUGGGCUUUUGUAAGAUAGUUCGGGUACCCCUUUUUGUAUUGUUAAUAUUUGUUUGUGGGAAUUUGUCUUGUAAUUAACUUUUAUAAUAAAACAUCUUCCUUUCUUCGGAAAGGAUUUGACAAAAAAAAAAAAGAAAAUUGAUAUCUUUUCCACCAAGAAUUUAGAAUUAUUAUAAAGGAAUAGAUUCAUAUGCUGUCAAACAAAUAAAAAUACGUUUUUUUUUUUAAUACAUCGAUACUUUUUGUACUAAGAGAUUGAUAGUCACACAAUAGGCAACUUAAUUUGAUAUUGAAUUUGUCAUCCAUGUGAUUCAAACCUAAAACAUGUCACUUCCAAGUGAAGAGGAAUACACCAGACCGUAGUACUGAGUCACAUAAAAACACGAACACGUAUUAUAUAUUAUUAAAUACAAAAGGAAAAAUGCCGGAUUUGAUGUCGAAGGCAGUCACAUAAUCGCCAUCCAGUUGGAAGAUUCCGGAAUAUAUACGUACAAAAAAUAGGAAGAGAAGUAGAAUCUUUUCAUGUCCGGAGUCUUUGAUGAUUGCUUCCCCUUCGAUUUUGUCUAUAAAUAAACAAUCUGCUCGUCUGCUUAUACACCCACUACUCACUCAGAGUCUCCGCUUUUUUGUAACCUUAGAAACUUUGUUCAAAUCUGAUCAACCUUCAAUGGCGGAUGAGGUGGUGUUGUUGGAUUUCUGGCCAAGCCCAUUUGGGAUGAGACUGAGGAUUGCUCUGGCUGAGAAGGGCAUCGAGUAUGAGUACAAAGAUGAGGACUUGUGGAACAAGAGCCCACUGUUGCUGCAGAUGAACCCGGUUCUCAUUCACAAUGGAAAACCGGUUUCUGAGUCCCUCAUUGCGCUUCAGUACAUUGGUUUGGAAUGACUCCACUCUUGCCCUCUGACUCUUACCUCAGAGCCCAGGCCAGGUUCUGGGCUGACUACGUCCACAUGAAGGUGAUUUUUACUCAUUAAUUUACUUAUUUGUACUAUUUUAAUUUGUUUUGAAUAU
rnacentral:lncRNA from 1 species